rnacentral:rRNA from 1 species
AUUGAACGCUGGCGGCAGGCCUAACACAUGCAAGUCGAACGGUAACAGGAAACAGCUUGCUGUUUCGCCGACGAGUGGCGGACGGGUGAGUAAUGUCUGGGAAACUGCCUGAUGGAGGGGGAUAACUACUGGAAACGGUAGCUAAUACCGCAUAACGUCGCAAGACCAAAGAGGGGGACCUUCGGGCCUCUUGCCAUCAGAUGUGCCCAGAUGGGAUUAGCUAGUAGGUGGGGUAACGGCUCACCUAGGCGACGAUCCCUAGCUGGUCUGAGAGGAUGACCAGCCACACUGGAACUGAGACACGGUCCAGACUCCUACGGGAGGCAGCAGUGGGGAAUAUUGCACAAUGGGCGCAAGCCUGAUGCAGCCAUGCCGCGUGUAUGAAGAAGGCCUUCGGGUUGUAAAGUACUUUCAGCGGGGAGGAAGGGAGUAAAGUUAAUACCUUUGCUCAUUGACGUUACCCGCAGAAGAAGCACCGGCUAACUCCGUG